CUAAGGAAAUUGUUGGAAAUAUAAAUAUAUCAAAAUCCAUGCGUAGAGGAAAUGCUAAGUUACAGCUUGAACCAGUGAUUGAGCACCUGGUGGGAAGGUAGGGCCAACCGAGGGGAGCUCAGGUGCAUGCAGUGUGCCUGAGUGACUGGAAGGGUGGAACCAGGAUCCACCCCUUCCCAGACCUCAUUUAAGGGCUGGCAGGGGAGGGAAGGAUAUCUUGCUGGGAAUCCCUGUCUGCUUUAGGCCUUGCCAGGAGAAUUGGAGAUUACCUUAUAGGGCUUGAAGCUGAAUCAGGAUCUCGUGCCAUUACUGUUCCUAUUAUUGUCCCCAACUCAAUAUCUUCAUGAACCUCAAAAAGUGUCUGCAUCUGUGGCUUUGACGCUGCCAAUGGCAGUCCCAACUGGAGAAGAUUCAGGAAUACGGAGGUGGAUGGUACCUGUCAAAGAGACAAAGAGCCACUCAGGAGCCCCACAAGCCAUUGCACAUGCAUUAAGUAACAUCAUCUGUGUCACACAAUAGCUAAUUAUAGAUUUUUGUCUAUUUUUUAUUCUAGAGAUUUUCCUUUUAAAUACAUUUAAGGCAAAGAAUUAUGUAGGGCAAAACUUGAGGUAGAAGGGUGAAAACUGUAGAAAAACAAAAUCAGAGGAAAAAAUCAUAAAACAACAGAGGCCUUCUAUUUUCAUAUCUCAGGAAAGGAUCAGUCAUAUAUCUACUUUUCUUGUUUCCUGAAACAAGAUGGGAAAGAUUGCUCUAUGAUCCUUUCAGGCCUUACUCUCCUUAACAAUGGUUUUUUCCCCUUAAUAUCUAACAUGAAUCUUUUCGGGUGCAUUUUACGUCUGUAUUAUCAUGGAAGCAAUAGAAAGACCAAAACUUCCCUGACUUCUCCAGCCAAGUAUAAGAAGCAAAUUGAAAUUUAAUUUUGCCUUUGAAAAUU